rnacentral:rRNA from 1 species
UACGUAGGGUGCGAGCGUUGUCCGGAAUCAUUGGGCGUAAAGAGCGUGUAGGCGGCCAGGUAGGUCCGUUGUGAAAACUCGAGGCUCAACCUCGAGACGUCGGCGGAAACCCUCUGGCUAGAGUCCGGAAGAGGAGAGUGGAAUUCCUGGUGUAGCGGUGAAAUGCGCAGAUAUCAGGAAGAACACCCGUGGCGAAGGCGGCUCUCUGGGACGGUACUGACGCUGAGACGUGAAAGCGUGGGGAGCAAACAGG